GGAGAGAUGUCCGAGCGGCCGAAGGAGCACGACUGGAAAUCGUGUAGGUGCCUAAGAAGUGCCUCGGGGGUUCGAAUCCCCCUCUCUCCGCCA
rnacentral:tRNA from 1 species